rnacentral:rRNA from 1 species
AGUGAACGCUGGCGGUAGGCCUAACACAUGCAAGUCGAACGGCAGCACAGGAGAGCUUGCUCUCUGGGUGGCGAGUGGCGGACGGGUGAGGAAUACAUCGGAAUCUACUUUUUCGUGGGGGAUAACGUAGGGAAACUUACGCUAAUACCGCAUACGACCUACGGGUGAAAGCAGGGGAUCUUCGGACCUUGCGCGAUUGAAUGAGCCGAUGUCGGAUUAGCUAGUUGGCGGGGUAAAGGCCCACCAAGGAGACGAUCCGUAGCUGGUCUGAGAGGAUGAUCAGUCACACUGGAGCUGAGACACGGUCCAGACUCCUACGGGAGGCAGCAGUGGGGAAUAUUGGACAAUGGGCGCAAGCCUGAUCCAGCCAUACCGCGUGGGUGAAGAAGGCCUUCGGGUUGUAAAGCCCUUUUGUUGGGAAAGAAAUCCAGCUGGUUAAUACCCGGUUGGGAUGACGGUACCCAAAGAAUAAGCACCGGCUAACUUCGUGCCAGCCGCCGCCGUAA